AAAACUCCAGUCUUUCAACGAAGUCUCUUCUGAGUGGCACAAGCAAAAAUUUAUCAAAACCUUUAACAACGGAUCUCUUGGUUCUGGCAUCGAUGAAGAACGCAGCGAAAUGCGAUAAGUAAUGU
rnacentral:rRNA from 1 species